rfam:Camelus ferus unplaced genomic scaffold scaffold1533, whole genome shotgun sequence.
GAGGGUGUAGCUCAAGUGGUACAGCGCACGCUUAGCAUGCGCAAGGUCCUGGGUUCAAUCCCCAGUACCUCCA